CCUACGGGUGGCAGCAGUGAGGAAUAUUGGUCAAUGGGCGCGAGCCUGAACCAGCCAAGUCGCGUGAGGGAAGACGGUCCUCUGGAUUGUAAACCUCUUUUGUCGGGGAGCAAAAGACGCCACGCGUGGCGUUCCGAGAGUACCCGAAGAAAAAGCAUCGGCUAACUCCGUGCCAGCAGCCGCGGUAAUACGGAGGAUGCGAGCGUUAUCCGGAUGUAUUGGGUUUAAAGGGUGCGCAGGCGGAAUAUCAAGUCAGCGGUAAAAUUGAGAGGCUCAACCUCUUCGAGCCGUUGAAACUGGUUUUCUUGAGUGAGCGAGAAGUAUGCGGAAUGCGAGGUGUAGCGGUGAAAUGCAUAGAUAUCACGCAGAACUCCGAUUGCGAAGGCAGCAUACCGGCGCUCAACUGACGCUCAGGCACGGAAGUGUGGGUAGCGAACAGGAUUAGAUACCCCUGUAGUC
rnacentral:rRNA from 1 species